AGGGCACAUGAAGGAUGCCUAGGCUCCUGGAGGCGAAGAAGGACGUGACAAGCUGCGAAAAGCCGCGGGGAAUGGCAAAUACAUAUUGAUCCGCGGAUGUCCGAAUGGGGCAACCCGAUACGUGCGAGCGUAUCACCGUGCAGAGCACGGGGCAAACCCGGGGAACUGAAACAUCUCAGUACCCGGAGGAAGAGAAAACAAAAGUGAUUGCGCAAGUAGUGGCGAGCGAACGCGCAGGAGCCCAAACCGGCAUUGUCGAGGCAAUGACCGGGGUUGUAGGACCGCCAAUAAAUUUGAGAAACAAUGGUAGGAGAAGCGUCUGGAAAGGCGCACCGCAGAGGGUGAAAGUCCCGUACCCGAAACCGUUGCGAUUGAAGAGGCGGCACCUGAGUAGCGCGGAACACGAGAAAUUCUGCGUGAACCAGCGGGGACCAUCCCGUAAGGCUAAAUACUUCCAGGAGACCGAUAGCGAACCAGUACCGUGAGGGAAAGGUGAAAAGAACCUCGAACAGAGGAGUGAAAUAGACCCUGAAAUCAUGUGCCUACAAGCGGUCGGAGCCACUCAGUGUGGUGACGGCGUGCCUUUUGCAUAAUGAACCUACGAGUCACCGUUGCCGGCGAGGCUAAGCGCUGUAAGGCGCGGAGCCGAAGCGAAAGCGAGUCAGAAUAUGGCGAGAUAUAGUCGGCAGUGGUGGACGCGAAACCAAGUGAUCUACCCUUGGGCAGGUUGAAGGUGGGGUAACACCCACUGGAGGACCGAACCGGUAAGCGUUGAAAAGCUUUCGGAUGACCUGAGGGUAGGAGUGAAAGGCCAAUCAAACUUGGAGAUAGCUCGUACUCCCCGAAAUGCAUUUAGGUGCAGCCUCGGGCGAAUUACCGUGGAGGUAGAGCGACUGAUAGGAUGCGAGGGCUUCACCGCCUAUCAAGUCCUGACAAACUCCGAAUGCCACGGCAACAUACCCGGGAGUGAGGGCGUGGGUGCUAAGGUCCACGUCCGAGAGAGGAACAACUCAGACCACCGUCCAAGGCCCCCAAAUACGGGCUAAGUUGAAGACAAUAACGAGGUGGGAUUGCAUAGACAGCUAGGAUGUUGGCUUGGAAGCAGCCAUUCAUUUGAAGAGUGCGUAACAGCUCACUAGUCGAGUGAUCCCGCAUGGAUAAUAAUCGGGCAUAAGUCCGUUGCCGAAGACGUGGAACUGUAGCGUAAUGCUAUGGUUGGUAGGGGAGCAUUCCGCAGGCCGCAGAAGGUCGAUCGCGAGGUCGGCUGGAGGUACCGGAAAAGCAAAUGUAGGUAUAAGUAACGAUAAGGAGGGCGAGAAACCCUCCCGCCGUAAGACCAAGGGUUCCUGAUCAACGCUAAUCGGAUCAGGGUAAGUCGGGACCUAAGGCUACGCCGCAAGGCCAGGCCGAUGGACAAACAGUAAACAUUCUGUUACUCGAUCACGGAGCGAUGUGGAGACGGAGAAGUGACACAUCCGCGCACUGACGGAAUAGUGCGUUGAAGCGCGUAGGUAAUGGAGGGGCAGGCAAAUCCACCCUUUCAGCUGAAACGCGACAGUACCGAGCGCCCCCGGGCAAUCGGAUAGCGAUGGUAAUCAGGCUCCCGAGAAAAUCCGCUAAGCAUAUCCGCGGUCGACCCGUACCGUAAACCGACACAGGUGGUCGGGUAGAACAUACCAAGGCGCUCGAGAGAUUCACGGUUAAGGAACUAGGCAAAUUGACCCCGUAACUUCGGGAAAAGGGGUCCCUUCCUCCGGGAAGGGCGCAGAGAAUAGGUCCAGGCAACUGUUUAACAAAAACACAGGGCUGUGCUAAGUUUAAAGAUGAAGUAUACAGCCUGACACCUGCCCGGUGCCGGAAGGUUAAGAGGAGAUGUCACAGCAAUGGAAGCAUUGAAUUGAAGCCCCGGUAAACGGCGGCCGUAACUAUAACGGUCCUAAGGUAGCGAAAUUCCUUGUCGGGUAAGUUCCGACCUGCACGAAUGGUGUAAUGAUCCGGACACUGUCUCAACCGUGAGCUCGGUGAAAUUGUAGUAUCGGUGAAGAUGCCGAUUACCCGCAACGGGACGAAAAGACCCCGUGAACCUUUACUGCAGCUUUGCAUUGUGACCGGGUGCUGGGUGUGUAGGAUAGUCAGGAGGCAUAGAAGGCGGGACGCCAGUCCCGUUGGAGCCGGCGUUGAAAUACUGACCUCCCCGCAUCUGGUCUCUAACUCCGAUGUCGGAGGACAUUGCAUGGCAGGUAGUUUGACUGGGGUGGUCGCCUCCAAAAGAGUAACGGAGGCUUCUAAAGGUGCGCUCAGGCCGAUUGGUAACCGGCCGCAGAGUGUAAUGGCACAAGCGCGCUUGACUGGGAGACCGACAAGUCGAUCAGGUAGGAAACUAGAGCAUAGUGAUCCGGUGGUUCCGUAUGGAAGGGCCAUCGCUCAAAGGAUAAAAGGUACUCCGGGGAUAACAGGCUGAUCCCUCCCAAGA
rnacentral:rRNA from 1 species